rnacentral:rRNA from 1 species
GAUGAACGCUAGCUACAGGCUUAACACAUGCAAGUCGAGGGGUAACGAGAGGGAAGCUUGCUUUCCUUGUCGACGACCGGCGCACGGGUGAGUAACGCGUAUCCAACCUGCCCCCAACUAGGGAAUAACCUUGCGAAAGUAAGACUAAUACCCUAUAAUUUCCUCAGAUGUCAUCUGACGAGGAAUAAAGAUUUAUCGGUUGUGGAUGGGGAUGCGUCUGAUUAGCUUGUUGGCGGGGUAACGGCCCACCAAGGCAACGAUCAGUAGGGGUUCUGAGAGGAAGGUCCCCACCAUUGGAACUGAGACACGGUCCAAACUCCUACGGGAGGCAGCAGUGAGGAAUAUUGGUCAAUGGGCGGAAGCCUGAACCAGCCAAGUAGCGUGCAGGAUGACGGCCCUAUGGGUUGUAAACUGCUUUUAUACAGGAAUAAAGUUAGCCACGUGUGGUUAUUUGUAGGUACUGUAUGAAUAAGGACCGGCUAAUUCCGUGCCAGCCGCCGCCGUAA